GCUUUUGUCCCCAGCACAUUGCACGCCGGUGUUAUUUUGGCAAGCUCAAGUGUAAGUUUUUGCUAAAAAAGUUCAACCAACUAACCAACUUCUGGAUACAGUUAGUUACACUACAUACCGCUACUACUGAAUAGCACUGCCAAAUCAGUAUUCCCUAGAAUUGAGCAAGAGGAUUUCUUCAAGAAAUAAAAGCCUUAAUUGACAGUAACAAAACGAUCAUCGCAUUUACAUAUGAUAAGCUUUUGUUGAGGGAUUUUCGUUGCGAGGAUUGUUUCUCAUAUCUCAGCCAGCAAUCGUCCACUUUUUACGCCAAUGUGGAAAAGCCUGCCGAAGCUUUUAAAAAAUUAUCUACGGUACUUGAACUUUACGUUCAAGAGGAUGGAAGAAUGGAAUCUCCAUUACAGUGUCAACCGGAUAAGCUAUAUAUGAUAUCCUUAGAUGAACUCAAAAGUCACAUUAAUCCAAUGAAGAGUUGUGAUGAAGCAUUCAAAAAUGUGGUCACCACUUCUGUAAAUUGUGAAGAUGCUGUCUACGUUUUCCUAGGAACUCAUGAAGUUUCAACUGAGCGCAGCGGUCGGCUCUAUUAAAACGGAAGAAUUUCAUUUUAUUUAACUCAACUGGAAGUAGAGGACUCAACUGGCUUCAUACAAGAAAUCGAAUUUUAUGAUAUGAACAUAACCGGAGGAGAUCCUAAGCUAACAGUUGAGCUUAUAGCCGAAAAUUCGACUGCAUCGUUACGAUUCAAUGUAGUUAUUAGUAAAGGAUAUUUUCAGAUUUACUCGUUUACAUUUAACGAUACCACUUAUUACGUUUCUGACCUCUAUGCACCAAUAAGUCAUUCGUUUUCUUGUGGAAAAAUACUACUUAAAAAGGACAAGAAGAAGCUCGUAAUUAAAAGAAUGCAAAUUCAAUACGAUGUCAUACCACAUCCCAGUGAUUUUAAGUUCAAAGAUGCUUGGACAUGUGAGGGAUUCACCUCCCCUGGCAUAAUAUCUGGACUUUUUGUAACAGCUAUUUUUGUUGGCGUUUUGUCAAUUGGUAUUAGUAUGUUGAUGAAUGUUCAAUCACCAACGAAAUUUUAAACUCCAGGAGGACCUAUAUUACACAUAAACGUAGUUGAGUAAUAUAUAGUAGAAAUCAUGAUACAAAAAUAGAAGGUAGUUUCAAUAAACAA